GAUUGAACGCUGGCGGCAGGCUUAACACAUGCAAGUCGAGCGGGGGAGAUUGCUUCGGUAAUUGACCUAGCGGCGGACGGGUGAGUAAUACUUAGGAAUCUGCCUAUUAAUGGGGGACAACAUCUCGAAAGGGAUGCUAAUACCGCAUACGCCCUACGGGGGAAAGCAGGGGAUCACUUGUGACCUUGCGUUAAUAGAUGAGCCUAAGUCGGAUUAGCUAGUUGGUGGGGUAAAGGCCUACCAAGGCGACGAUCUGUAGCGGGUCUGAGAGGAUGAUCCGCCACACUGGGACUGAGACACGGCCCAGACUCCUACGGGAGGCAGCAGUGGGGAAUAUUGGACAAUGGGGGGAACCCUGAUCCAGCCAUGCCGCGUGUGUGAAGAAGGCCUUAUGGUUGUAAAGCACUUUAAGCGAGGAGGAGGCUCUUUUGGUUAAUACCCAAGAUGAGUGGACGUUACUCGCAGAAUAAGCACCGGCUAACUCUGU
rnacentral:rRNA from 1 species